rnacentral:rRNA from 1 species
UGGGGAAUAUUGCACAAUGGGCGCAAGCCUGAUGCAGCCAUGCCGCGUGUGUGAAGAAGGCCUUCGGGUUGUAAAGUACUUUCAGUCGGGAGGAAGGUGGUAAGGUUAAUAACCUUGGCAAUUGACGUUACCGACAGAAGAAGCACCGGCUAACUCCGUGCCAGCAGCCGCGGUAAUACGGAGGGUGCAAGCGUUAAUCGGAAUUACUGGGCGUAAAGCGCACGCAGGCGGUUGAUUGAGUCAGAUGUGAAAUCCCCGGGCUCAACCUGGGAACUGCAUUCGAAACUGGCAGGCUAGAGUCUUGUAGAGGGGGGUAGAAUUCCAGGUGUAGCGGUGAAAUGCGUAGAGAUCUGGAGGAAUACCGGUGGCGAAGGCGGCCCCCUGGACAAAGACUGACGCUCAGGUGCGAAAGCGUGGGGAGCAAACAGG